rnacentral:lncRNA from 1 species
CGAGAACACGUAGGCAGACGAGGAGAGAGCAGUAGGAGUAGCAGUGUUCUCUGUGGUAAUCCAUGUUUCCGUCAGCGCCAGGAAGUCUAGGGACUGGAGGGUAGCAUAGGCUGAGAUGAACUCAGCCUUGUUGGCCGCAGACCGGCAGUUCCAGAGGCUGCAGGAGACCUGGAACUCCACGUGGGUCGUGCGCGCUGGGACCACCAGGUUAGAGUGGCAGCGGCCACGCGGUGUGGAGCGUUUGUAUGGCCUGUGCAGAGGGGAGAGAACAGGGAUAGACAGACACAUAGUAGACAAGCUACAGAAGAGGCUACGCUAAUGCAAAGGAGAUUGGAAUGACAAGUGGACUACACGUCUCGAAUGUUCAGAAAGUUAAGCUUACGUUGCAAAAAUCUUAUUGACUAAAAUGAUACAGUACUGCUGGCUGGUGGAGUAGGCUAGCUAGCAGUGGCUGCUUUGUUUACUUUGAACGUGUAGCUGGCUAGGUAACCUCGGUAGUUUCAGUACUACCCCUUGUCAUGAUACAAAGCAACUUUGUAGCUAGCUAGCUAACAUAACACUAAUCAAGACGUGAUUAGUGUUUUGAUAUCAGCAUUAUAAUUUUAACCAUGUUGAGGCUAUACAGUGUUGAUUUACAUUGUUUCUAAACAUUGGAGUAAAAAAAAUCAAUUUCAGAUUUGCCCUUUAACACCACACAUCAGUCCCACAACUGCCUCUGUUUUUAACACAGUAACGGUACCUACAGUUGAAGUCGAAAGUUUACAUACACCUUAGCCAAAUACAUUUAAUCUCAGUUUAUCACAAUUCCUGACAUUUAAUCCUAGUAAAAAUUCCCUGUCUUAGGUCAGUUAUGAUCACCACUUUAAAUGUAAAAAUAAUUUUAAGAAUGUGAAAUGUCAGAAUAAUAGUAGAGAAUGAUUUAUUUCAGCUUUUAUUUCUUUCAUCAAAUUCCCAGUGGGUCAUACACUCAAUUAGUAUUUGGUAGCAUUGCCAUUAAAUUGUUUAACUUGGGUCAAACGUUUCGGUUAGCCUUCAACAAGCUUCCCACAAUAAAAUUGGUGAAUUUUGGCUCAUUCCUCCUGACAGAGCUGGUGUAACUGAGUCAGGUUUGUAGGCCUCCAUGCUCGCACACGCUUUUUCAGUUCUGCCCACACAUUUUCUAUAGGAUUGAGGUCAGGGCUUUGCGAUGGCCACUCCAAUACCUUGACUUUGUUGUCCUUAAGCCAUUUUGCCACAACUUUGGAAGUAUGCUUGGGGUCAUUGUCCAUUUGGAAGACCCAUUUGCGACCAAGCUUUAACUUCCUGACUGAUGUCUUGAGAUGUUGCUUCAAUAUAUCCACAAAAUUUUCCUGCCUCAUGAUGCCAUCUAUUUUGUGAAGUGCACCAGUCCCUCCUGCAGCAAAGCACCCCCACAACAUGAUGCUGCCACCGCCGUGCUUCACAGUUGGGAUGGUGUUCUUUGGCUUGCAAGCCUCCCCCUUUUUCUCCAAACAUAACGAUGGUCAUUAUGGCCAAACAGUUCUAUUUUUGUUUCAUCAGACCAGAGAACAUUUCUCCAAAUGUUCCUUCACAUCUGACUCCAGUGAUCAAUCCAGAGGCCUCUUCUUUUUGGGGGGGAAUCCCGAUGGACAAUGUUAUCGAUUAGGCCGUCAUCACGACCACCACCCACAAGUUAAUUGUAAUUCGGGUUAUCAAUGGGAAGAGCAUUAGCAAUAUGUCCUGUCUGGUAACGUGUCUUGUUCAACGGAUUUACAUUGGCAGGUGCACAGGGAGAAACCCCAUUAAAAAACUCAGUCGAUCUCAAACUGCGGAAAAACCUUUGGAAGUCUUUAUCAAAGUCUGUGGCCUGUGAUGUUGAGACAAAUGAUUGUCCCUUAUUAUACAAGAGACAAAAUUCACAAAUUCAACAGCAUAACGGCAGAGUCAUGUCUUCAGUGUAAAACUAACAAUGACUCAAUAAUCCAUGCCUUCUGGGAAUGUUAUGAUGUCAUAAAGUUAUGGGCGGAGUUAGAAAGUUGGCUGUAAGAAGGAUUACAAUGUAAAGGUACUUUUAAUCUGUCUGUCUGUAUAUUUCAAAACAUGGCAUUUGAGGGAGCAGUGAAAUACCCCAGAGUUGGACAAUACUUUUCUCGUCAAUCAACUUAAAUACUAAAAACUGGAAGUCAACCAAUCCUCUGUUAUUAACGCAAUAGAAAGGUCAAAUGCUUUAUUAUCUAAAAAUGUAAAGUGCUGGGCGAUGGGGAGUAAUAAAAUGUUAGAGUUUGAGGCCAUGUGGUGGAGAUGGGGGUGUGUUCUAGUGGGUCUGGGCAGGUGUGAUGUAAUUAACGGAGAUGGGGGUGUGUUCUAGUGGGUCUGGGCAGAUGUGAUGUAGUUAAUAUUUGUAUGAUGUUGUUAUUUGUUUAUUUUGUAUUGUUUAUAAAAUAUCAAAUGAAAAAUAUUUUUUAAGUCCCAAUGCAAAGUUACCCCUCACACUGUUCUAUUUUUGGAGUUAUUACAUAAAACCAAUCAGAAUUCAGAAGAAUGCCAAAGUCAGGUGUGAAGUAAUAUGGAGGACCAGCCUAUUCCCUAUGAUGUAAACUACAACAGAAAUAACUUCAAAUGUAGAACUUGAAAUUAAACCAACCGUUUCCACUCAUGACUUGAGUGAUUAAAGUAAACCACAGUUUUGGAAAUACAUAACGCCAUCGAACCAAAUAUCAAAGAAUGUUAGCUAUAUGCAGUUCUCUUAGCCAGCCAGCUAACAUAUUUAGCCAACUAGCUAUGGUCAGUGAGCUGGAGCCCAACUACUGGAGACCAGUUAGAACCCAACUAACAAAACCCAACUAAAACAUGCAGAUCAAAAGAGCAGAGACACACAGAAUGAUGUCAUGGAAAAUCCCCAACAUCCAAAAUAGAUAGAUUCCAGAUGUCAGUCAGCUAGCAGUAAGCCAAGGUGGAAAAACGAACCAAACUCCCGUAGUGUACUUCACAGAGAAUGCUGAAAAGUAGUGAUGGGGAACAUCUCCCUGAAGCAUUGCCGCUUUCAACCAAUAGUGUCAGAAAUAGUUUUAUUACUCAAAGCUUUGAAAAAACACAGAAUUUAGAACAGCCAAUGUAAUAUAAAAU